UGUUCCCGACGGCGCUUGCUCCUCUCGUUCCUGACGCCACACCCUCCUCUCGAAGCCGCUCUCCUCCUCCAACGGCGUUCACUCCUCCUGACGCCGCUCCGCGACACCGUCAUCCCAUCGCCGUCGCCCUCAGGAGAUUCUCCUCUGACCCGCAGAGCUCUUUCUGGGUGCGGCGCCACGGCUCCACCUUGGCCAUCGUUGUCCCCUCCACAAGUGGUUCUUGUGGCGUCCACAGCUCCCCUAGUUCUCGUGUGCUGAUCCGUCUCCCCUCGCGCAUGGCGGUAUGGCGGUGCUUCAUCAGCCAAACUCAUGGCUGGAUCUCGAGUGGAUUGGAGGAGGGCAGCAAGUCUGAUCGGAGCGGAGAGUCCUUGCCUUCAAUCGCCAUCAGGAAAGGUCCUUGCGGAUGCGACCACCUUCCAGUCUCAAUGGUGACCUCGAAUCUGUUCCCCUGUGUCGGCUGGCGGCAUCCAUCCACCUGGGGCAUCACUGCUGCGUUGCAGUGGCCGUAUUUCGUACUGGUGGCCCCGUCAAUCACCAUCCCCGUAGAGGCGGCAGGAUCCUACGUGUGCUGUGAAGCCCUCAACCUCUACUGGCUCUGACCUCGACACAGGUGCUGAUCCUAAGGACAUCUUUCCAGCAAAACUUUCAGACAGUCUUGUAAGUUCCUGCCUGCUAAUUCAUUUUUGCAUCAUAGUCAUCAAUCUGUCUUCAGUUCCCAUUCAUUUUGUCUUGGCUCUUGUGUUAGAUAUGUUCUGCAAACUACUCUCUUCAUGGAAUUAAUAUUUUUUUUUUAUAAAUUAGCAUUUUAAGUUUUGCAGUAAAGGGUGGAUCAGAUUGUCAAUUCUAUUAUAAAUGUGUUUUCAUAUGGAAACACAAGAAGACAAUAUUGGAUAUGGCAUAUAAGAAAUGAUGUAGGACUCAUUUUGGUUCUAUUAUGCAUACAACCCUUCCCAGACAACAUGUUGCGUAUAAGAAUUUUUCACACGGUUGAUCCAUUCGAGAUUUGGAAUGAUCAACUUGGCCAUCCAAAGGAAUGCGUGAAAAAUUAAGGAAAAAAUCCAAAUCACUACCCUGUACUAUAAGCAAAGUUUGGAUAACCCCUUGAACUAAAUUACUUUUUACUUAACCCCUCUGGUUUUGUAAUCCGGUGCACUGUUCACCUUUUGACCCAUCUUAAACCUGUUUUGCUGACUGUACGGUAGUUUUGGGGGCUAAUAGCGCCACAUGGGAUGCCAGGAUAGCAGAUGGAAUCAAAGCCCACUUAAACCCUCUCCUGAGUCAGCCCAGGUCAUCUCUCUCACGACUCUCCAUCGUGUUCCUCGCCGUCUCUAUUUCCCUCACGUCUCUUCCUCGAGACCUCCCGAAGGAUUGAGCAAGGUGAUGAUCGCAGGCCACACAACUUGAUCGGCGACCAUUACUUGAAGCAGGUGUGUCCCCCUAUCCUGCACUGCCCCCUUUUUCCCUAUGUACAGUAGACAUUGUGAUGGACCAUGUAUAUUAGGUGGGAAUUAGGUGUUUUCCAUUAGAUCCAAAUGAGUACGAGUAAUAGACGUCACCAUUAGUUCAUUAAUUAAGGUUCUAAUUUUAUCUGAUUUCUACUAAUGUCCAUGGUUUUUGGGGUUUGUACCUGAUAAAACUUUUGGGAAUGAUCUUUGAUUAAAUUGGUUGUCAUAGCAGUCCAGUUGCAGUUAGCAGGUCGUAAUUGGUUUAUAGUUUUUUUAAGAUUGAAAAUUGUGUGGUUUUUCUCCGAUUCUUAGUGAUAUACAUUUUAUAUCAUGAAUUCCUCAAUUCUGCCAGGGGACAUGGACCCGCGAGAUUUCAUUGCUGUUAGGUUUCAUUUGGGGGAACGUUUGAUUUUGAUGGCAGUGUUUUGGACUAUGUUGGUGGGGGAGUUGAGGUAUCGCACAUAGAGAGGGAUAAGGUAUCCUUGCCAGAACUAAGAGGGUUUUUGUGUGAUUAUGUUGCACUAACUGAUGAAGAUAAUGUUGAAUUUCACUAGUUAUUCUGUGGAGAUGAGAUAAAUAAUGGAUUAAUGAGGCUUGAAGAUGAUAAAGCCUGCCUCUACAUGUCUGAUUGCAUAUCAGAGGGUGGAGUGGCACAAAUAUAUGUGGAGACAUUUAGACUUAAUGGAGGUGAUGAAAGAGAGGUUCAGGGAGGGAGUCAAGGAAGGACUGUCCAAGAUCAGACUAGAAGGGACAUUGUGAAGAGAUUGUCCUUUUACCCCCCCUCCUUCUGAAAAUGAUAAAGAUGGAGAAGGUGGAACAGAAAGCGAAGAUGAAGAAUACAUGGAGGAAGAAGAGUGCGCAUCUGAUGAGGAGGAGGAAUUUGAUGAUACUUCAGAUUAAGAUGAAGAGGCCAACUAGUUCAAAAUGAAUGCAAGGAGGCAGAGGGAAAAUCCAGCAGGUAAUGCUACAGAUUAUGGAUUUUCUGAUCUUCUACUACAAGAAAUUUUAGAAGAAGCACAAACUUUGCAAGAUGAUGAUGAACCUCCAGUCAUAGACAGUAGUGAAGAGUACAAUUACGAGAAUGACGAUCGGGGUGAAGCAAUAAGAAGAAGGAGCAGAUUUGGCAGAUUUGACACUGAAGCAACCAUUCCAAGUUUUUCACUUGGUAUGAUUUUCAGUGGAAGAGAUCAGUUUAAGAAGGCUUUGAUCAAAUAUGGGUUGGCAACUAGGAGGCACUUGGUUUUUCCAAAGGAUGAGGCUACUUGAAUCAGAGCAAGAUGUUCAUGGAAUGGCUGCCCUUGGUUAAUAUUUGCGUCAAAAGAUAAUAGCAAGUUCAAGGUGAAGACCUUCCACAAUGUCCACCAUGGUUCGGCUAGGCGGCGAUUCCGCGGCGCCUAGGCGCGAUUAGGCGCUAGUCGAAGCCCUGCCGCGUCGAUUUGGCCGUAGUCGCUCUUCUAGGCGGCGGCAGCUCGUCGGCGGAGCCAGUGGGGGUGGAGGAGCGCCUGGCGGAGCUCGCCGGUGGGGGGGUGGGGGUGGGGGGGAGGAGCUGCGGGCGGCGGUAGGGGCUUGCACGGGCAGCUGUUGGCGCAGGCGCAGGCGCGGGCGCCCAGCAGAGGAGAGAGAGAGAUGUCGGAGAGGGAGAGGGAGCGGGAGAGGAAUCGGCGGUGGCGGCGGCUGAGGCUGGAGACGAGCCUCACGAAGGAUGCGGGAGUUGGGAGAUGGAUAGGGUUUGGACAGGUUGCCUCUCUCUUGGGCCUUUCUAUGGACUGGACAGUUUGUGUCUUGGGCCUUUCUAUCUCCCUAAAUCAGCCUUUUUACCUAUCUGAGCCCACUAUUCAGCUGUUUAUUUUUUCUUUUAGAAGAUAAUAUAUGUAUAUUAGUAUAUAUAUAAAACGCCUAGGAAAACGCCUAGGAGCGCCUCGGACCGAGUACUCCCGACUAGGCGCUAGGCAAUGGGUCAGCGCCUAGAUUCCGCCUAGCGCCUAGCUCCUAGCUGAACUUUGAUGUCCACAACUGUCCACAAAGGAAAGACAAUAGGUUGGUCACAGGACCAAGAAUAGCUGAUAAAUUUGAGCACAUCAUCGAGGCAAACUCGUCAUGGAAGCUUCAAAAUAUCAAGGAGACUGUGUUGCUUGAGAUGGGGUAGAUGUAUCCUCGUCCAAGAUAAAGAGGGCAAAAGCUAUUGUCAUGAGAAGGAUAUAUGAGUCAUGCAAAGGAAAGUAUGCAAAGAUAUUUUGUUACCAAGCUGAAAUUCUUAGAAGCAACCUGGGAGCACAUGUGCAGUAUAUUUAGAUCCUGACUAUGAGUUCCCUGUAUUCCAAAGGUUUUAUGUAUGCUUUGAUGCUUGCAAAAAGGGAUUCCUAGCUGGAUGUAGGAGAGUCAUUAGAGUUGAUGGGUGCUUCUUUAAGGGAGCUUGCAAUGGUGAGCUUAUUUGUGCUCUAGGAAGGGAUGCCAACAAUCAGAUUUAUCCAAUAGCAUGGGCAGUGGUGGAGAAAGAAACUGAGAACUCUUGGUCUUGGUUCUUGGGACUUUUACAAAAGGAUAUUUAGAUUCCAUUAGGUGGCAAGGACUGGGUUAUAAUAUCUGACCAGCAAAAGGGUCUUCUUAAUGCUGUUUCAGAAUUAUUCCCACAAAUUGAGCACAUAAUGUGUACAAGACACAUUUAUGCCAAUUGGAGAAAGAAGCAUAGGGACGAUGACUUUCAGAAACCCUUUUGGAUGUGUGCAAAGGCAUCAAGUGUGCCAUUUUUCGACUUUUGCAAAGCAAAGCUAGCCCAAUUAACUCCAGCUGGUGCCAAGGACAUGAUGAACACCAACCCCAAGCACUGGAGCAGAGCUUGGUUCAACCUUGGGUCAAACUAUGAUAGUGUAGACAACAAUAUGUGUGAAAGUUUCAACAAUUGGAUAGUAGUUUGAGGGCCCAUCUAAUCAUUUCCAUGCUUGAGGGAAUCAGGACCAAAGUUUAUGUCAGGAUCCAGCAAAAUAGAACCAAGUCAACUAGAUGGACAUCAAAGAUCUGUCCAAACAUUCUCAAGAAGAUGAACAAGUACAUUGAUCUAGCACAAAAUUGCUCAGGAAUUUGGAAUGGAAAGAAUGGAUUUGAGAUCAGACAGAAGGACAAAAGAUACACAAUAGACAUAGAGAAGAGAACAUGUUCUUGCAGAUAUUGGCACCUGGCUGGUAUACCAUGUGCUCAUGCCAUAACAGCAUUGUUUUUAAGCUCUAGGCCUGCUGAGAACUACAUAGCAGAUUGCUAUUCAGUGGUGGAGUACAACAAGAUAUAUGACCACUGCAUGAUGCCCAUGGAAGGAAUGGAUCAACGGCCAAUAGACCAACGCAAGCCACAACCUCCAGCAUAUGUGAAGAUGCCUGGCAGGCCCAGGAAGGAGAGGAGGAGGGAACUUAGUGAGGCAAAAAAGGCCACAAAGGUUAGUAGGAUAGGAA